AAUGAGUUGUUUUUCACUUUUAUUAUAGGUUUUAUGGGACCUUUUCUAAACAAAUAGGCUUCAUAAUUUCUGAAGUAGCUUUACCUACUACAGAAAUUAUAGAGUC
rnacentral:ncRNA from 1 species